GUAAUGUGGAGGAACUUUUACAGUCCAAAUG
rnacentral:piRNA from 1 species